CAGACACUGACAGACAGACAAGUUCACCCCAAAAACAACAGGACUGGCUGGUAACGGGAGACACACAGAGGACACGCUCUGCUGAAGCACGGGUGCUGGAAUACAUUAGGCAGCCCAGAACAAACUCCCAGUAGACGCCGGACAUCAACGUGAAGGGUGGGAACACAGAGUGCAUGCUGGGAGCGCCUUCCCAUUCCACCUCAACUGGAAAGACGGUGUUUCGUUGGUGUCGAGGAAUUAAAAGGAUUUAAGAAGAUGCUAACAAGAUUAAGCCUACUCAGGAUCAGCGAUUAUUCGGUUUAUUUGUGUAAGAAGAGAAGUACAUCCAGAAUUCUGUGGUUCUCUGAGGGGGCCAGAGAGGAGAACAGUAUGGAGUAUAGAGGAAAAACACAGUGAACAGGGAGUUCAUUGGUUGAAAACUGUGUUAUGAAUGGUACUGAAUUAUUGUUUGUGGUUAAUGUUAGACCUAUCUGUGUGGAAGAACCAAGAGAUCUCAUGUAGCUAGUCAGAGCUUGGAGCUCAGGUGUGUGGAUGGUGCUUAAGUUUGGAGAGUGUUUCUUAAUGACAUUGUAGGAUGCACUAUAGGUAUAGAGCUAUCGGUAAAGGGACUUGGGAGUAGGUUAGGCGAACAUAAUGUAGAAUAUGUAUGAUAGGUUAAGAUCUGGUUAUUCCUCAACAGUCUGCUUCUGGUUGGACUUUGUAUUGAGAGAAGCCAGUGACACAGACACACAUGAGGAGGUUAUGGGUCGGAUAGUGUCUCUUAACCUAUAUUGAGCAGAUGGCUGCAUCAGAUAUAGAAGGAAAUCAGACAUUACUGUUGCUUACAGAGACAUGACGUAAACUGUCUUUACUAUCUAUUAAUUUUUGGUUUGAAAGCAGUAUAACAUAGCAUGGCUGAUGAACAGCAGGUUAUACAGUCGGUCAAUGCAUUUAAUACGUUCUUAUACUCAUGGUGGAACAGCCUACCGGAGGAUCUCCUUGACGGUGCCCUUCAGAAGGGGCGCCCCCUGCAGGGCCUUCCCGGGAUCUCCCCCUGCCACGGCCCAGGACUCUCUCACCUGCUGCCUCACCGCCUCCUGCACCUUGGGGUUACGGCCCAGCUCGAACAGACCAAACUGCAGGGGCACCGCGGUCUGAGAGACAGGAGAGGGUACAACACUGUUAGGGCUGCUGAGCUAACCUCUGUGAGGAAAGAAGAGGAAAGAGAUGUGGUCCCAUGCAGUGGCGUGCUGUGUCCACAAGGGGGCGCCAAUGCGAGAUAGAAGCCGAGGGGGCAGAUACAGGAGCGGCGGCGUGGUGGACAGCAUUCUCUCCACGGCCCAGAUGAACCUCUGGGACUCCUGGGACGGCGAGGAGGAGAACAGUCCUAUGCGCUCCCCGUAGAUCACAUGACAGCUGGCUACAGGUCGGUUCAGAUGAGAUGGGGUUGGGGAGUUGAGAGAAAGUAGGACACAUAAAAAUUACAUGAAUGAAAAAGUAGAUGGCAUGAAAAGUUUGGUUUCAGUGUGAGUUGGCUUGUCUGUUUAACAUUAUAACAAAAAAGUAAUGAUCAAUGAAGAUAUAACAGCAGUAGCACCCAAUUCAGUCAGCAAAAGUAUUGACAAAUAACUAAAACGAGCUAAAUGUGCUAAACGGUUUUGGUUUUGAAGGUCGCUUAAAGAGAAUCAAUGGACUGCUCUUGUGCACAGCAUGUCCUCUAGAGUGGAGAGGAUUUAAGGUAUUCCAGGCGCGGUCUUCCAUCCAACAUGUGUUGUAUUAGCGACACAUCGGUGCGCUGGCUAGAGUUUCACAUCCCGGCUAUUUCUACCCGGGCUUAGCACCUGGCUCCUUGAGCUGAGGAGCAAUUCAUCAGCACCACCGUGACUCCCAAGUCCUCAGCCAACCUUCACCGCCGCCGCCGCCACGGGCGUCUCCGCCCAGGGAACUCACGCCAGCGCCAAAGAGCGGGGAAUGGUGUGAAGCGCACACAAAUACAAUGUGUGCCAACUCGUAAAUACAGUUGCAUGCGCUCACAUUCGUACAAACACAGACCCACAACAUACUCACGAAACACAAACACAAACAAAGGCAGACCACAGGGAGAUAUGCAAAUAGCGUGGCCCAAACUUUCACACCUCUGCACGCGCCGCAUUUCACCACACCGUUUCAAAGAGUCCUGUCUGUCUGGACCAAUGGGGAGGCUUGCUAGCUGCCGUGCGGCUGCGGGUGAAUGCCUCCCUCUAUUUUUACAAAUAAACAAUCCGUGACCCGGUGUGUACACAAGCACACUUUACAAACAUAAACACACCAGCAAUCUUUUCUGCUGUGCAUGAGUAGGUAGUAAACAUUCAGAUUAGCAUUAUGUUAUGUCAGUGUGUUCGUGUGUGUGUGUG